AUUGAACGCUGGCGGCAUGCCUUACACAUGCAAGUCGAACGGCAGCACGGGUGCUUGCCCCUGGUGGCGAGUGGCGAACGGGUGAGUAAUACAUCGGAACAUGUCCUGUAGUGGGGGAUAGCCCGGCGAAAGCCGGAUUAAUACCGCAUACGAUCCACGGAGGAAAGCGGGGGACCUUCGGGCCUCGCGCUAUAGGGUUGGCCGAUGGCUGAUUAGCUAGUUGGUGGGGUAAAGGCCUACCAAGGCGACGAUCGGUAGCUGGUCUGAGAGGACGACCAGCCACACUGGGACUGAGACACGGCCCCGACUCCUACGGGAGGCAGCAGUGGGGAAUUUUGGACAAUGGGCGAAAGCCUGAUCCAGCAAUGCCGCGUGUGUGAAGAAGGCCUUCGGGUUGUAAAGCACUUUUGUCCGGAAAGAAAUCCUUGGCUCUAAUACAGUCGGGGGAUGACGGUACCGGAAGAAUAAGCACCGGCUAACUACGUG
rnacentral:rRNA from 1 species